GUAAAAUUAUAAUAAUAAAGCACAUUCAUUUGAAGCAUACAGUGUGAGUUUUAACAAAUCUGUACCCUUCUCUAAAUACCACUGCAAGUAAGAAGUAAACAUUUCACCAAUCCCAAAUACACUUUGAAUUUUGAGUUAUCUUAGAAUUACAUCAUAAGGCUUUAACUCUACAUCAUUUGGUAUUACCCCUCAUGAUCCAGAACUAGCCAGAGGCCAGUAAACCAUAACGCGUCUGGGUAUAUUAUUUUCUGAAAUGUUUUCUGCCUAUAACUCUAACAAGAUUGUUUUAUUUUUCUGUUUUGUGUUUGAUCUGCUGAUGUUUCUGUAGGUUGUGGUGCUGGCACAAGAAACAUGGAUGAGCACCAACAAGGGAGUCUACAUUGGAAUCUCGGUUACUAUUUUGGCACUGUUGGUCAUGUUUGUGGUUUUCUGGAUUAGGAGAAGAUAUUUUUGCCUGGGUAGCAAGGCGGAGCUACUACGUAUGAUUCCAUUGAAAGAUUCUCGCAUUGGAGCUUUGAAAAAUGCAGCUCUGAAGCCUAUCCAAGCAGACGACAAUGUGUACAUUGUAGAUGACUAUCACUAAGCCCUGGAUCCAGAAUCUAAGGUUUUAUGGUCUUGACUGUAGAAGACAGUGACAAAAUACCGUGUCAGAGUCCUCUGAAUCAGCUGCUGAAUUUUUCAGUCAGUUUCCCAUGGCAUUCCUAUGAGUCAGGGACACUGGUAGAGUCAUGCUAGGUCGACUGUGAAAAGUCAACCUCUGUCACAGAGUCCUAAUUUUUUAUACUAAAUUGGCUCAAACUUGCUGAUCAUUGCAGAGGUCUCUUCAAAACAUGAAACAUAAUUCUUCGAAUUGUACAUUCUCUUCAGACCUCAUGAAUCUUGUUUUCCAUCAAGAAUUCUCAUUGGGAAGAUAGAAAAAAACACUUCUACCUCAGUUACCAAGGCUGUCAAGAAUACCUGAAUACAACUUAGAAUCAGCACAUCUAAACUGGGACUUAGAGGACUUAACAUGCAAGCAUUUCAUGAUUGCCGCCCCCCCACCUUUUUUUUUUUUUUAAAUAAAGUGACUCCGAAUGUGAUAUUGCUUAGGGUCCCCAAAGUUUCAAAUCAUGGUGUGUACAGGUUUUUAUUUACCCGAUAGAAAAAUGGAGGUGAGUGUGAUUUUUCCAUUAUAGACAAAUUUGUUUUCUCAGGGUUCUGGAAAUACAAGGCAUUAAAUGCUUUCUUUGGGAGGAGGAUGGUAUUUUAGCAGUUAGAAGAAGCAAUGAUACUGAGUAUACCAUGAAGACACCAGGAGAAGAAAAUCAAUAGCCAUAUAAUUUAUGACAUUUUUGCUACAUCAAUGCCACAGUUCUAGGUGUUUAUGUUGACAACUGGCAGGCUCUGAUUUUUAGAACAAGGCAGGGCAGAAAUAAAUACAAGGAAAAAAGAGGGAAAGAGUAGCAAAAAAGGCUUUCUUUUUUAGAAAAGAGUUUGCAAAUAUAAUAGUAUUGUUUGAGAGUGUUACCAAUUUCUACAAAAUGCUAAAUUGCCUUCAAACCACUUUGAUUUUUAAAAUUGUUUUGGAAG
ensembl:lincRNA